rnacentral:rRNA from 1 species
UACAGAGGUGGCAAGCGUUGUUCGGAAUUACUGGGCGUAAAGGGCGCGUAGGCGGCCAUCUAAGUCAGACGUGAAAUCCCCCGGCUUAACCUGGGAACUGCGUCUGAUACUGGCAGGCUUGAGUAUGGGAGAGGGAUGUAGAAUUCCAGGUGUAGCGGUGAAAUGCUUAGAUAUCGUCAAGAACACCUAUAGCGAAGGCAGCUUACUAGGCUGUAACUGACGCUGAGGCACGAAAGUGUGGGGAUCAAACAGG